rnacentral:rRNA from 1 species
UGAAAAGCCACUAAGCUUCAGCUACACACGACCGUACCGCAAACCGACACUGGUGCGCGAGAUGAGUAUUCUAAGGCGCUUGAGAUAACUCAGGAGAAGGAACUCGGCAAAUUGACACCGUAACUUCGGAAGAAGGUGUGCCUUUAGUAGGUGAAGUCCCUGCGGAUGGAGCCCAAUGAGGUUGCAAAAAAUCGGUGGCUGCGACUGUUUAAUAAAAACACAGCACUCUGCAAACACGAAAGUGGACGUAUAGGGUGUGACGCCUGCCCGGUGCUGGAAGAUUAAAUGAUGGGGUGCAAGCUCUUGAUUGAAGUCCCAGUAAACGGCGGCCGUAACAAUAACGGUCCUAAGGUAGCGAAAUUCCUUGUCGGGUAAGUUCCGACCUGCACGAAUGGCGUAACGAUGGCCACACUGUCUCCUCCUGAGACUCAGCGAAGUUGAAAUGUUUGUGAUGAUGCAAUCUCCCCGCGGAAAGACGGAAAGACCCCAUGAACCUUUACUGUAGCUUUGUAUUGGACUUUGAACAGAUCUGUGUAGGAUAGGUGGGAGGCUUUGAAGCAGGGUCGCUAGAUCUUGUGGAGCCAACGUUGAAAUACCACCCUGGUGUGUUUGAGGUUCUAACCUAGGCCCGUUAUCCGGGUCGGGGACAGUGCAUGGUAGGCAGUUUGACUGGGGCGGUCUCCUCCCAAAGUGUAACGGAGGAGUUCGAAGGUACGCUAGUUACGGUCGGACAUCGUGACGAUAGUGCAAUGGCAUAAGCGUGCUUAACUGCGAGACUGACAAGUCGAGCAGAUGCGAAAGCAGGACAUAGUGAUCCGGUGGUUCUGUAUGGAAGGGCCAUCGCUCAACGGAUAAAAGGUACUCUGGGGAUAACAGGCUGAUACCGCCCAAGAGUUCAUAUCGACGGCGGUGUUUGGCACCUCGAUGUCGGCUCAUCUCAUCCUGGGGCUGUAGCCGGUCCCAAGGGUAUGGCUGUUCGCCAUUUAAAGAGGUACGUGAGCUGGGUUUAAAACGUCGUGAGACAGUUUGGUCCCUAUCUUCCGUGGGCGCUGCAGAUUUGAGGAAGCCCGCUCCUAGUACGAGAGGACCGGAGUGGACACACCUCUGGUGUAUCGGUUGUCACGCCAGUGGCAUUGCCGAGUAGCUAUGUGUGGAAGAGAUAACCGCUGAAAGCAUCUAAGCGGGAAACUCGUUUCAAGAUGAGAUCUGCCGGGGCCUUGAGCCCCCUAAAGAGUCGUUCAAGACCAGGACGUUGAUAGGUCAGUUGUGGAAGCGCAGUAAUGCGUUAAGCUAACUGAUACUAAUUGCUCGUGCGGCUUGACC